CCAUUUUUUCUUUGUAUGUCUCUGGGCCUGUGAUGGGAGGGAGUGCCAUGAAGAACUCUGACAUGCCAUGGAGACAUUAUCCCCAUUGUCUUUGGGAUUAACAUUCAGGUCCUCGUCACUUAUGUAAAUUUCUGCAGCCAGCUUGAAUGUCUCCUCAGAAAAUAGGUUUUUCUUUUCUAUCACAUUG